UUAAAAAGCUCGUAGUUGAAUUUCGGGAUUUAUCCGUCGGUCGGGCUUUUGGGUCUGUACUGGCGUGAUGGAUUCCUACCUUCUGAAUAACCGGCAUGUCAUUAAUUUGGUGCGCCGGGGAAGCAGGACUGUUACCUUGAAAAAAUUAGAGUGCUUAAAGCAGGCUUAUGCCUGAAUACAUUAGCAUGGAAUAAUGAAAUAGGACGGCAUGGUUCUAUUUUGUUGGUUUCUAGGAUCACCGUAAUGAUUAAUAGGGAUAGUUGGGGG
rnacentral:rRNA from 1 species